CCAUAAUUUCCAGAACAUUAUUCCUCAUUAACCAAAACAAAUUAAUAUACAGUGAGUGAGUCCAAAACAUUGAAAUAUUACUAUUGAAUAUACACAUACACACAUCAAAAGUUUUAAACUUUGAUAUAUAUAGUUAAUUAUUGAGUGAUGAGUUUAUUCUCUUGAUGAUCAUAGCUUUAAGUUUAACAGCAUCAGACAAAGGAGUUGUAACUCUAUAUAACUCCUCGUUGAUGUAACGAUACCUCUUAUUUGUUCUUGCAAAGCUCUCAUCAUAAUUUCUUUUGUUACAGUUUGGAUCUUCUUCGGAAUCUCCACUGCUGAGUUGUACCAGAAGCUUCGCUGCUUCGAUCUCCGAUAGUUGCCUCUUCGUGCUAGUGCCUUUGUUUUCCAUUAUGCAACAUCAUCUCUUUU
rnacentral:lncRNA from 1 species